UGUCUCAUAUAGAUUUGCUUUUUGAGGAAGGGAGAAGACGCUCUGUUGUGCUGCCGCAGUAUGUUUUGGCGGGUUUGUAUGGUUGGUCAAGGUGGGUUAGUUGUGAAUGCUUCUCUCGUCAUUUCUCAACAGCUUUUGGUAGGUUGCCAGAUGAAUUUUUAAGAUGUGUUUCCCGGGGUUGUAUGAAGUUGUCGUCCAAGUUACCUUCUUUGACAGGGGAGGGUUCCGAGAAGAAUCGUCAGCCGAGUUUAAUCCGUUUAAUUCCUGUUUUUAUUCAAUUAAUUUAUAUAAAACUAUUUACAAUGGAAGAUUUAUCAACUGUUGAUAAAU
rnacentral:lncRNA from 1 species